rnacentral:rRNA from 1 species
CUAGGUCUCAGUUCAGAUUGCGGGCUGCAACCCGCCUGCAUGAAGUCGGAAUUGCUAGUAAUCGCGGAUCAGCAUGCCGCGGUGAAUACGUUCCCGGGCCUUGUACACACCGCCCGUCACACCAUGGGAGCCGGUAAUACCCGAAGUCAGUAGUCCAACCUCGUGAGGACGCUGCCGAAGGUAGGAUUGGCGACUGGGGUGAAGUCGUAACAAGGUAAC